rnacentral:rRNA from 1 species
UACGUAGGGGGCAAGCGUUGUCCGGAUUUAUUGGGCGUAAAGAGCGUGUAGGCGGCUUUACAGGUCCGUUGUGAAAACUCGAGGCUCAACCUCGAGACGCCGGUGGAAACCGUAAGGCUAGAGUCCGGAAGAGGAGAGUGGAAUUCCUGGUGUAGCGGUGAAAUGCGCAGAUAUCAGGAAGAACACCCGUGGCGAAGGCGGCUCUCUGGGACGGUACUGACGCUGCGACGCGAAAGCGUGGGGAGCAAACAGG